UGGGGAAUAUUGCACAAUGGGCGCAAGCCUGAUGCAGCAACGCCGCGUGAGGGACGACGGCCUUCGGGUUGUAAACCUCUUUUGGCAGGGAAGAAGCGAAAGUGACGGUACCUGCAGAAAAAGCACCGGCUAACUACGUGCCAGCAGCCGCGGUGAUACGUAGGGUGCAAGCGUUGUCCGGAAUUAUUGGGCGUAAAGAGCUCGUAGGCGGUUUGUCGCGUCUGCUGUGAAAACCCGAGGCUCGACCUCGGGCCUGCAGUGGGUACGGGCAAACUAGAGUGCGGUAGGGGAGAUUGGAAUCCCUGGUGUAGCGGUGGAAUGCGCAGAUAUCAGGAGGAACACCGAUGGCGAAGGCAGAUCUCUGAGCCGACACUGACGCUGAGGCGCGAAAGCCAGGGGAGCAAACG
rnacentral:rRNA from 1 species